ACAGCGGAUCAACACGCCAUCUAUUCCUUCAUGGGGAGGCAACUCCCCUGCUGAGCCACCGCCUCCUCUCCCCUUCCCUCACAACACCUUUUCUCCGCCGUCUUCCUUGCGCCUUUGACAGUCGUGCUCGGAGGAGGUCGUCACCGGCGCCCGCAUCCUCGGCUCCCGCCGCCGAUUUGCCCCGCAGACCUUCCCUUCUUCCCCUACUGCCGCUAGCGGCGACCCCAAGUGCGACCGUCGAUUGGCGGGCGAGGAAGAGGACCGCGCCCAAAUCGCCUCCAUUGUGAUUCGCGUCCACCUCCAACGACCGGCAGGACCCGUGAUAUGGCGACUCCCAGGGCGCUGCCGGAGGGUCCGACGAGGAAAUCGACCCGAGGACGACUUCUACCUCAACUUCGUGGAUUGGUCUUCGAACAAUGCCCUCUCGGUCGGAUUGGGGAAUUGCAUCUAUCGGUGGAAUGCAACAGCAAGCUUUGCGAUUUGGGGGCGGACCACACUGUUUGUUUAGUGAGUUGGGCGCAGCGUGGCACCCACCUAUCUGUAGGGACUAACCAAGGCUCCGUUCAGUUGCAGCAAUCAAUUUUGCUCUAGCAGCACAGGAGUCCAGCCGGAGCCUUUUGUAACUUGCCAUGGCUGACUCUUUUCCCUCGGCACAAUAAGCCCUUCGCAAUCAUGUAUCUUGUCAGUGGUUGCUGCGAUAUCCUUUUCUAUAACCUCCAGAUCACUACCAGCUUUCUCCAAUGUUUUAUAUUAAGUUACGGAGGGACUAAUUGCCAACAUAGUUCAGAUUUUCCCUUACAAUAUCAUUUCUAUCAGAAUUUGUGGUUUUAGUUCAAUGUCAUCUGUUAGAGCAAAAAACAUGAGGUUAUUCAGGUUGAGUCCCACUCAAGUUGCUUGAUUUUAGGUUCUAAUUAUGGGCCUGGACAAAUUCAAAACAGAUAGCUUGCUUAAGAGGAAUCCCACAUGGAUGAUGUAACACAGGUUCGAUUUGCAUCAAACCAACAGAGUAAACUUAUUUCUGCGGCAGUGGAAGGAUUAAUGUGUGUCUUCGACACAUAUAGUGAUGGCCACCGCAACGGCGGGCAGCAUGCCGAUCAACACUGAGUCGCUGACCAUAACCAAGGUGGGCGAAAGCGGAAGGCCAUGGAGCUGGCGCAGGUCGUCACCAACGCCCUCUUCUCGCUGCCGGCCACCGAGGGCUAUGACGGCCCCGUCGUCUGCCUCCGGCCGCCCACCGAUCGCCUACCCGGCGAGAAGCAUAUAUCAAGGAGAAGACGUGCGUCAUUGCGCCAUCGACAGGAAGAGGCUGUUGUGUUUGUGUCGAAUAUUUUCUACUAGUUGGGUUACGUUUGGACUUGGUGGUGUAGUUUGGGUAGGAUACGUGUAGUGAUGCGGAGCAUCCUAUGGACAUCACCAUGUCAAGAGUCCGUUCGGCGAGUGACACGGGCGGCAUCUACUUCACAUACCCAAAGGUGAAUCAUCUCCUUUACACGUGCUCACUUGACACCUUCGAGGAUGGUAUACUACUUGACACUCCACUCAUGUGUAUGCAUAGGUAUUGUCGGAACACUACGGACGACUAGGAAGAGUGCAAGCGUCAAGGAACAACUACACCAUCCGUGAGGGAAGCCUGGAAGCGGAGACGGAAUAAAUGGAGCUGCUGGAAGCUACAGUGGCCGGAUAUCUGGGCCAGAGGCCGGACAUCCGGCGCAUGCGCCGAAGAGCUUCAGUAGCCGGACAUCCGGCCGACCCCCGGACAUCCGGCGCCUGUCAACAGGCCGGACAUCCGGCAUCGCCCCGGAAAUCCGGACAACGGCUAUCCAUAGAAGAGCAAAACGGCCUGUUCUAGGUCGGACAUCCGGCCAGUGCCCCGGACAUCCGGUGUCUCACGAACGGCCGGACAUCCGGCCCCCAGCCCGGACAUCCGGCGCCUGCCUGCGCGCAGAGUUGGGCCAGAGGCCCAUGUAUCCCUUCCCCACUUACCCCUUCGUGGCUUAGACUAUAUAUACUACU